rnacentral:rRNA from 1 species
UGGAUUAGUGGCGAACGGGUGAGUAACACGUGGGCAAUCUGCCCUGCACUCUGGGACAAGCCCUGGAAACGGGGUCUAAUACCGGAUACGAGCCUCCCGGGCAUCUGGGAGGUUGGAAAGCUCCGGCGGUGCAGGAUGAGCCCGCGGCCUAUCAGCUUGUUGGUGAGGUAACGGCUCACCAAGGCGACGACGGGUAGCCGGCCUGAGAGGGCGACCGGCCACACUGGGACUGAGACACGGCCCAGACUCCUACGGGAGGCAGCAGUGGGGAAUAUUGCACAAUGGGCGAAAGCCUGAUGCAGCGACGCCGCGUGAGGGAUGACGGCCUUCGGGUUGUAAACCUCUUUCAGCAGGGAAGAAGCGAAAGUGACGGUACCUGCAGAAGAAGCGCCGGCUAACUACGUGCCAGCAGCCGCGGUAAUACGUAGGGCGCAAGCGUUGUCCGGAAUUAUUGGGCGUAAAGAGCUCGUAGGCGGCUUGUCGCGUCGAUUGUGAAAGCCCGGGGCUUAACUCCGGGUCUGCAGUCGAUACGGGCAGGCUAGAGUGUGGUAGGGGAGAUCGGAAUUCCUGGUGUAGCGGUGAAAUGCGCAGAUAUCAGGAGGAACACCGGUGGCGAAGGCGGAUCUCUGGGCCAUUACUGACGCUGAGGAGCGAAAGCGUGGGGAGCGAACAGGAUUAGAUACCCUGGUAGUCCACGCCGUAAACGGUGGGCACUAG